UUAAGUUCAGCGGGUAGUCCUACCUGAUUUCAGGCCAAAGUUUGAUUAUUUGUCCGUAAAGACGAUUGGAAGCAGCACAUUCAGAAGAGGCCUAAGGCGAGGGCGCAGAUAAUUAUCACACCGUGCCAAGCGCUAACAAGCGCAAGCUAAUGCAUUUCAGGACGAGCCAUUGACGGCACAGUCCAAAUCCACAGCUUGUG
rnacentral:misc_RNA from 1 species